GCCCCGGACACCCUCCUCCUUCAGGAGGCGACGUGGUUCGCUCCUUCAGGUGGACGCAGAUCGCAGAACUCCCGGAUUCCUGGAAGACAAGACAGAUGGAGGCACAGAAGUGCGGGCACUUGGCAGCCCCUCCAGGGGCCCGGCCUGUGCUGGCGGGGGCGCGUCCAGAUGGGGUGGAGUCCCCAGGCGGCUUCAUGCCCCCGAGAGCUCCCUUUCGGCUGACCCCCUGAAUCUUUGCACGUGAGCCGAAUACCCGUGGUGUCUGAGCAGAGCUGGAAGCCUCACGGUGAAGAUCAGGAAUGGUGUUAUCUCCCCCUGACCCCAGGUCACGGGCUCAGAACUCAGCCGCCAGCCAGGAGUCUAAAGCUUUUCUUCUGACACCUCUGCCUUAAACUCGAGGCCUCUGACCUGCUGCUGGCUGAACGGGGCCUGCACAUGGGUUUGGUUCAGCUCACUGUGCUUUUUUCCCCCCCCCACUCUCCUUUCCUGUACCACAAACUUCACCCUGUGGCUUUAAACCACGGUAGCUCAUGGCGCUGAUGUACCGGGAGAUUUUUCAAGACACCUGGUCUCCUGGACUGAGGGCUCACCCCAGACCCUGCUACCCCCGUUGCCCCCCGCCCCUGCCCGAGGCUGUGUGCCCGUGGCCACUUAUGAUCCCCAGUGGGAUUUGCCCACACCCAGCCUACUCUGCUCAUCUGUGUCACUUCCUAGCCCCAGGGCCAUGUGGGGUCCCACUUACUCUGGAUUAUACUUCUAUAGGCCAGGGUGGCUGGUGAAUCCGGAGCUUCGACCAAAAAAGACUGUCCUUUGUCACAACUCUCAGCUUAAAGAAGGAAGUGAAAGAAAAUUAAAUCCAUGAAGAAACCAGUGGUGACAUGAACUCAGGGCUCCUUCUGGGCCCGGGACACAGACGCUCCUGAGCCCACCUUACUCGUAGCGGCGGAGGAAGCUGAGACAGGAAGUUGGGGGCUUGAGAACCGCGCCUGUUUCCCCUCCACCCAGCGGGGACCCUGACCCGAGCCUGGCUGUGUGGUUAGUGUGUGUGCCUACGAGUCAUCUAGGUGGCGUGUGGCAAAUGCAGGUCCCGGGGCCCCGUACAGAACAGAUGCAGUGGCUGCGUGGGCCUGGGAACCUGCAUGUACAGAUCAAGGCGUCCUCUGGCGAGAACGGGAAUGCACGUGGGGAAGGCAUGGAGGACAAAAGGUUAUACGGGAAGGCUGCGUUCAAAGGGGGCUGCCAGUGCUGCAGGUAGAACUACUGCACGGACGCAAAUGCAGCAGGUACACAAACCAGGUAUUUAAGAAAUAACGCUGGGCGUGCAUGACACACAUGCUGCGCCACCGCUCUCUCCGUGUGUGAUUUUAUCUGGAAGGGCCGUCGUCUGCUAGCCUGUCCCUGGACUGUCCACUCCUGUGCCUCCCGUGGAUGUACAGGUUGUCUCGUGUCCAGGUGAGCACAAGGUGGGGGGCUUCAGGCAGGCGGUGUGCCCCCUCCUGUCUGACCCUGGGUCGACCCCCGUGCACACUGAGCCUGCUGGAGAAGCGGAAGCAGCGCUUCCAUGACCCCCAGCUGCUCCCUAGUGCACUGCCCGGUGGGCAGGGACAGCCGAGAGGGGAGGGCAGACUGGGGCCCCACGUGGCCCAGGUCUAGGAAGUCACAGGUCCCACAGCAGACGUGUGGGGCCACUUUCUUCUGAUCUUCGCCCCAUGUCCUCUCACUGCUGAUCUUCCCCUUACAAAGGUGCUGGUCCCCCCCACACACCCCCCUUUCCUGCCUCUCCUCUGCAAGUAGCACCUGGGGCACGGCCUUCAGCCGGGCCUUUGCUUGUACCUUUCAUUCCACCCGGCAGCCCCGCGGUCAGCUCCGUCACUGUCCCCACCUGACAGAUGGAGGCCUCCAGGCUCAGAGCUGGCAGCGGAGCAGCGCUGGCGGAGGGCUGGGCGGCGGCCCCAGGGGCCUGUGGGGCCAGGGAGGCCAAGGACCUUGGCGCCAGAGGCUGGCAGCUCCUCUGCCCACAUGUCCCCAGAGGGGCCCUCCCAUCUGUUCGCAGGAACGUGGCUGUUCCCUCCUGGACAAAAGCAGCUGCGGAAGGUGGGUGACCUCCUCAGCCCCGUACGCCUUUCCGUAGCGCCUGUAGGUGCUCGGCGGCCGUCCCUCCUCUCGCUCCCUGUGCUUUCCACUAGAGGGGAGGUCUGGGUACGUGGGUGUCCUCUCAUGAGGCCUCGCCCGCUCGACAGCACUCAGUCUCAACUCGGAACGGAGCCCCGAAGCUGCCACUGGCAGCCUGGGCUCCGCUGUUCUGUCCCGUCAGGUGCUCUGAGGCCUGAGGGAGAUGGCGGUGGCCGCGCCCAGCUGCCACUGCCCACCCUGUCACCCACACGUCACGCGCCUCCACGAGGAGCACCUGCUCCCACAAGCACAAGGGACACUGCACCACGGCAGUCAAUGCAACCACAGCUCGCGGCGUUUGGGAAGUCGGAAGAAGCGGCUGGAGGGGUCUAGUCCGCGGGGCAAUCACAGCCAGGAGGGCUCCGGACGAGGCAAUAGGCGAGCGCCCCGGCCCUGACCUAACUGACCCUCUCCCCGCCGCCGCUGCAUUCAGCCUCGGCCCCGGUGCCCACAGUGCCCACACGCCAAGCCGCUCAGGACUGAGGACUGGGGACAGGCCCCACCUGGGCUCUGUGCUCCUGUCUGUCUCUGUCGACCCCCCUCAGGGACGUCUGACUUCAGGCCUGCCUCCUCCCUGGGGGCCCCUGUUCCUCUGCUCCUCUCAGCGGAGGAGGUGGGAGCCCCUCGCGGCGGCGGCGCUGCACCCACCUAUGCGCGGAUCCAGAGGCACCUUGCCGAGGAGCGGGAUCUUCAGGUCCUGGCACAUGACCUCCGCACCCCCGGUCGUGGGAGGGAAGAUCUGAGACUCUUUCUGGAGGGCGGAUUAAAAGGGGAGGACUCCUGAGGUGGGUGCAGGAUCAUAGGAAGGGACCCCAUUUUAAAGAAACUUUUAAAAAUGGCUCUCUUGUGUGUGAAAGUCGGAAUUUUCACGAAAUCAGCAAAAGAGGAUUUUAACUCCGACUCCACGUCCCGAAAGGGGGGGGGGGCGGGGGGCAUUCCCGCUGCGGCCUCCACGGGGCUGGCGGGGCACCCUCACCUGGCAGCGGGGGCAGAGGAAGCUGCUCAUGUUCUCCACCACCCCGAUGAUGGGCAGCUUCACCUUGUGGCAGAAGCUGAUCUCUUUGCGCACGUCCUGGAGCGACACCUCCUGUGGAGAUGCAAGAAGCCCGGCUGCUUCGGAGCCUCAGGAGGAAAAGAAGCCUCGAAGGAUAACCCGCAGCUGCAGAACAUCAAAGGGACCUGCGCUGACAGGAGAGCGACCUUCGACCCCAGCCCCACAUUCCACAUCCGGCCGAGCCCACUGUGGAUGAGGUCAGGGAGGGCCCGUGGGCUCCGUGGGCCGCCUGCUUUGUAAAUCAAGUUCUGCUGGAACCCGGCGGGGCCCGUGCCUCUGCGUGUGUCCUCUGGCCGCUUUCACCCCCCAGCGGGACAGCUGAGGGGCUGUGACAGAGACCGUGGGAGGCACAAAGCCUGAAACUUUCACUCUGGCUCUUCCCAGAAAAGCCUGCCAACCUCUGAUCUCAGUUAUCAUGAACACACUUCAUGGACAAGAAAAUAAGGAAUAUUACCGGAUCUGGACCGCUUCAAAUUCACUCCAGACGCGACACGCACCUUACACCUAAGUGUUUCCUUCUCCUCCACGUGCCCCAGGUCCCUGCCCAUGGCGCAGCAGGGGCGCCGGCAGAUCUGAAUCCUGCCCCCCCAUAACACCCAGGCACCUUCUCGUGGCCCUGAGCGUGUCCCCCACCGACCUGGCGUCACACAUGUGCACGCCAGGAGGGAGGACCGGCCUGUUUUCCUGCCCUGGUGCCGGGCCCAGGGCUGCGCAUAGAAGGUGCUCCGUCCUCUCCUGAACCAGGCUCGAUGGAGCAUGAAGGGUGACGCAGAUUCAGACGUAGCCUGAGAUCCAGCCCCCGGUCUGUGCUUUCUUAGGAGCCGGGGAGCCGGGUGGGGGUGGGAGAUUACCGAGAAGAGAAGUAUAACCGAGGAGAACCCCCUAAGAUGGAAGGUUCUUGAGACCUGCGAAGAGCACGGCAGUAACGACAAAGCACAGCACAGGCCCGAGCACACCUGCUCAUGGCUGCCCUCUUGGCGCAGGGCCUCUGACUGCUCCAGGAGGAGCUGGGCACUGCCCAGGAAAGCGCCAGGCCCACAGCAGCUUAUUGAGAGGCCCGUCUGGGCCCAGGCUGGUGUCGUGGAAAGCUGGGGGGAGUUCCCAACUUGUUUCAGAGCGAGAGGAGGGAAGCAGUGGGGACGGGGGUACCCAGUGCAUGAGCACAGGAAGGUGGCAUGAGUCCAGGGAACGGGCUGAGUUAUACCAGCACCGAGAUGUCACUGGCUACGUGAAGGGAAAUUAAAAGGCGAUUCUGAACCACUCUUGUUUAACCUGCGGACAAACCUCCCCCCUCCCCGCUGUGGAAUGCCCUAGUCAGCUGACAGUGCCUGGGCGAAGCGCCAGGGUUCUGCAGAUGCCAAGCAGGGUGUGCUGCGGAGCCGCGGUCUGAGGAGCCGCGGAGACGGCUCCCGGCAGGCACCGGCCUCGCUCACCUGCGG